GGCCGCGACGCUAUGGCGCACUGGAGUACCCUGUUCCUGGCAGGGAGGAACAGGAAGAGAAGAGUGUGGCCUCCUAGAAAUCUAGCACGGAGAAAGAUGUUAAGGAGAACUGCAAACCACUGUUCAAUGAAAUAAAAGAGAAUACAAACAAAUGGAACAACAUUCCACGCUCAUGGGUUGGAAGAAUCAAUAUCGUGAAAAUGGCCAUACUGCCCAAGGUAAUUUAUAGAUUCAAUGCCAUCCCCAUCAAGCUACCAAUGACUUUCUUCACAGAAUUGGAAAAAACUACUUUAAAGUUCAUAUGGAACAAAAAAGAGCCCGCAUCGCCAAGUCAAUCCUAAGCCAAAAGAACAAAGCCAGAGGCAUCAUGCUACCUGACUUCAAACUAUACUACAAGGCUACAAUAACCAAAACAGCAUGGUACUGGUACCAAAACAGAGAUAUAGAUCAAUGGAACAGAACAGAGUCCUCAGAAAUAACACCACAUAUCUACAACCAUCUGAUCUUUGACAAACCUGACAAAAACAAGCAGUGGGGAAAGGAUUCCCUAUUUAAUAAAUGGUGCUGGGAAAACUGGCUAGUCAUAUGUAGAAAGCUGAAACUGGAUCCCUUCCUUACACCUUAGACAAAAAUUAAUUCAAGAUGGAUUAAAGACUUACAUGUUAGAACUAAAACCAUAAAAACCCUAGAAGAAAACCUAGGCAAUACCAUUCAGGACAUAGGCAUGGGCAAGGACUUCAUGUCUAAAACACCAAAAGCAAUGGCAACAAAAGCCAAAAUUGACAAACGGGAUCUAACUAAACUAAAGAGCUUCUGCACAGCAAAAGAAACUACCAUCAGACUGAACAGGCAACCUACAAAAUGGGAGAAAAUUUUCGCAACCUACUCAUCCAACAAAGGGCAAAUAUCCAGAAUCUACAAUGAACUCAAAUAAAUUUACAAGAAAAAAACAAACAACCCCAUCAAAAAGUGGGCGGAGGAUAUGAACAGACACUUCUCAAAAGAAGACAUUUAUGCAGCCAAAAAACACAUGAAAAAAUGCUCAUCAUCACUGGCCAUCAGAGAAAUGCAAAUCAAAACCACAAUGAGAUACCAUCUCACACCAGUUAGAAUGGCGAUCAUUAAAAAGUCAGGAAACAACAGGUGCUAGAGAGGAUGUGGAGAAAUAGGAACACUUUUACACUGUUGUUGGGACUCUAAACUAGUUCAACCAUUGUGGAAGUCAGUGUGGCGAUUCCUCAGGGAUCUAGAACUAGAAAUACCAUUUGACCCAGCCAUCCCAUUACUGGGUAUAUACCCAAAGGACUAUAAAUCAUGCUGCUAUAAAGACACAUGCACACGUAUGUUUAUUGCGGCACCAUUCACAAUAGCAAAGACUUGGAACCAACCCAAAUGCCCAACAACGAUAGACUGGAUUAAGAAAAUGUGGCACUUAUACACCAUGGAAUACUAUGCAGCCAUAAAACAUGAUGAAACUGGAAACCAUCAUUCUCAGCAAACUAUCACAAGGACAAAAAACCAAACACCGCAUGUUCUCACUCAUAGGUGGGAAUUGAACAAUGAGAACACAUGGACACAGGAAGGGGAACAUCACACCCCGGGGACUGUUGUGGGGUGGGGGGAGGGGGGAGGGAUAGCAUUUGGAGAUAUACCCAAUGCUAAGUGACAAGUUAAUGGGUGCAGCA
rnacentral:lncRNA from 1 species